GCCGAGAACACCAGCCACAAGUCCUACCGGCCGCUCUGCGUCCUCACCUUCAAUUUUACAGAUAAAGGAAACUGAGGCACAGAGAAGGUCAGUGACUUGCCCAGCUGACACAACUAAGAAGCGUCAGGACUGCCCUCACCUGGCAUCUGGCUUCUCACUCUGGGCCCUUCACCACCACACCAGGCUGCCUCUCUGAGGAUGCUUAACUUUGAAAUCCUGUCGGCCUCAUGGGAUAGAACAGCCAGGAGGAACAUUCAAAAAAAUAUUGCAGAGAGAUUUGAGAAGAUGGCGGAAGAGUAAGACGCGGAGAUCACCUUCCUCCCCACAAAUACAUCAGAAAUACAUCUACAUGUGUAACAACUCCUACAGAACACCUACUGAACGCUGGCAGAAGACCUCGCACCUCCCAAAAGGCAAGAAACUCCCCACGUACAUGGGUAGGGCAAAAGGAAAAAGAAAAAACAGAGACAAAAGAAUAGGGAUGGGACCUGCACCAGUGGGAGGGAGCUGUGAAGGAGGAAAGGUUUCCACACACUAGAAGCCCCUUCACGGGCGGAGACUGCGGGUGGUGGAGGGGGAAUCUUCGGAGCCAUGGAGGAGAGCGCAGUAACAGGGUGCGGAGGGCAGAGCGGAGAGAUUCCCGCACAGAGAAUCGGUGCCGACCAGCACUCACCAGCCCGAGAGGCUUCCCUGCACGCUGGCCGGGGUGGGCGGGGGCUGGGAGCUGAGGCUCCGGCUUAGGUCGAAUUGCAGGGAGAGGACUGGUGGUGUGAACACAGCCUGAAGGGGUUAGUGCACCACGGCUAGCCAGGAGGGAGUCCGGGAGAAGUCUGGACCUGCCGAAGAGGCAAGAGACUUUUUCUUGCCUCUUGUUUCCUGGUGCGCGAGGAGAGGGGUUCAAGCGCGCCGCUUAAAGGAGCUCCAGAGACGGGCGUGAGCUGCGGCUGUAGGCACGGACAAC